rnacentral:misc_RNA from 1 species
GAUGAAGAACGUAGCGAAAUGCGAUAAGUAAUGUGAAUUGCAGAAUUCAGUGAAUCAUCGAAUCUUUGAACGCACAUUGCGCCCGCCAGUAUUCUGGCGGGCAUGCCUGUUCGAGCGUCAUUACAACCCUCAGGCCCCCGGGCCUGGCGUUGGGGAUCGGCGGAAGCCCCCUGCGGGCACAACGCCGUCCCCCAAAUACAGUGGCGGUCCCGCCGCAGCUUCCAUUGCGUAGUAGCUAACACCUCGCAACUGGAGAGCGGCGCGGCCACGCCGUAAAACACCCAACUUCUGAAUAUUGACCUCGAAUCAGGUAGGAAUACCCGCUGAACUUAAGCAUAUCAAUAAGCGGAGGA